CUAACAAUGAAUUGUUCCAAUUCACAUAAGAAAUUUGAUAAGGUCUUUUGUUGUUUUUAUUAUUUUAAAGAUAAAUAUUCAUCUUUUUUCCAGAAUCAGAAUGUUGUUAGGAAUUGUGGGAAGAUGACUGUAUGCUGUGGUCAGAUACAAAGAGCUCAGUGUACACCAGGCAACAGCUCUAGUUUAUAAUUCCAUGGGACUCUUGCUUGUCCCUGGUGAAAGUAUAGUCCUUUGGAGACCAAGACAAUGAACGCUGCAGAGUCUACAAUUGUGGAGACAAGAUGCACAAAGUUCCCAAUUGGUUAAUGGGGGUGAUGAUUCUCGGUCUGUUGCCCAGGCUGGAAUGCAGUGGCGCGAUCUUGG